GAGUGUUACAUUUACAAAACAAUUCUUUGAAUCUUUCACAUGCCUCGUAUAAGGACUCGCCAUCCAAUUAUUGGAAAAUAUUUAUCUCAUUUCGCAACUU
rfam:Gossypium raimondii chromosome 2, whole genome shotgun sequence.